GACGAACGCUGGCGGCGUGCUUAACACAUGCAAGUCGAGCGGUAAGGCCCUUUCGGGGGUACACGAGCGGCGAACGGGUGAGUAACACGUGGGUGACCUGCCCUCAGCUCUGGGAUAAGCCUGGGAAACCGGGUCUAAUACCGGAUAUGACUCCAUGACGCAUGUUGUGGGGUGGAAAGCCUUGUGCGGCUGAGGAUGGGCCCGCGGCCUAUCAGCUUGUUGGUGGGGUGAUGGCCUACCAAGGCGACGACGGGUAGCCGGCCUGAGAGGGCGACCGGCCACACUGGGACUGAGACACGGCCCAGACUCCUACGGGAGGCAGCGAGUGGGGAAUCUUGCGCAAUGGGCGAAAGCCUGACGCAGCGACGCCGCGUGAGGGAUGACGGCCUGGUGU
rnacentral:rRNA from 1 species